UGUACCUGGAACACACGCCGCGUCAUCGGGAAGCGCGAUUAGCAAUGCGUGCAUCGAAGGGAGAAGGCCUCGCGCGGAUUUCGUUGCACAAACUGCGAUCGAAUCAAAUCAGAAGAGGAAUCGAGUCAGGCGCGAUAAUAGCAAGGACUGGGAGUGCUGAAGAUAAUGUAAAAGAGCCAAUUUCCUCUAGUUGUCCGAAAUUGAUCUAAAAAAAUUAAUAUUUUCAGAAAGUCUAUUUUUGAGAUCGACAAUUUAACAUAGAACUUUGUAUUGCAGGAUUUAGUUGACGGUACUCUUAAAAUUCUUUGGAGUGAAUCUCAUACUAAAGAAGGGUUCGCCGUGAGCUCGUCGUGAUCGACCAUUCGCGGUUUGCGAUCUCUUAGUCUUUCUUUUUCCGAAAUUCGCCGGCACCGGUAAGAAUCGUAGGAAGGACUCCAUCACGAGCCACGAGCCACAAGUUUCAAUCACGUCCUGGCUCGUUCUUUCUUCCUCUCUCGGCCAACAACGCUUCUUAUUUCCGCGCGGGACGAUUACGCAGAUUGGAAGGUUGAAGCGUAACGCGCUCGAUCGUUGCGAAUACAACGCGAUGAAAGAGAUUCCUCCAAGAACGAGGCGGAAAGUUUUGUUCUCGUGCAAUCUUAUACAUAUUAAUGCGUCUCCGGGUAAAACGGAAUCGUCGCGCGCUGGAUCUUACACGGGCUGCAUGUUAACUCAAGUCCGAGACACGUGAGCGUAAGAUGACGUCGGGAAAUACGUCGAGUCGGUCGACGCAACGAUAUUUACAUGCACGCACACUCUUAUCCUUGCAGGAUUUCCUCAAUCAGAUCCACAUUUGUCGCAACGAGCUUUGUCACUCCAAUGAUAUUGCAAGACGAAUCGUGAAGGCGUAUAUAUUCAGCAAAAACUUGAGACUUGUAAAAAGAUCGACACGACCAAGAGAAAGAGAAAUAGGCAAAUUGCUCUCUCAUCCGGAUGUUGCUUUAAUAUUCGGACAUCGUCGGAUCAGAUCCACAUUCAACGAGCUUUGUCACUCUAAUGAUGUCGCAAGACGAAUCGUGAAGACAUGUAUAUUCCGAGAACAAGAACUCAAGGCUCGUAAAAAAGUCCCGACACGACCAAGAGAGAAAGAGACAGUCUGCAUCCGACUUCGUCAUUAGUCAUCGUCGUCCGUCUCCCUCCUCGUUCUCACGACGAGGAAAGAACACGAGCGCCGCGAGAGGAGGAGAAAAAACGUGAAGAAGAAAAAAGGAAAGCGAAACGAGCAGCGAGAGGAGUCGCGCGACGAGGGAAGGGGUGCAGAGAACGGGCGACUCUAAAUCGCACAAGCGGGACGAGCGACCGGCUAUUUUCACGGGUCCUUUUGUUUUUCGGUAGGCGUCGCCGCGCGGCGCCUUUUUGCGCACCGUCCGGGUCCGUCCACUGCAAUGGUCCCUCCAGAGGAGAGCGCUCGAGCACAUUCGUCAACGAUAUCCUGACAGAAAGGACGACGCAAGCGGCGAGGGGCAUACGGAUCACUCGGCCAGAGGAAGCUCCGUUGCAGACAAUUGCGUCAGUUGUUAGAAAUGUUUGCGAGAUCAGCAAACAUUUGGAAUAUUCACAUGCCGACGGUAUGGAUUCGGCAAAUAGGAAUUACGCUCAACGAAUUGAGGAGUGAGAAUUUGGAAGAGGAAUUCUCCUCUCGAAUCACGGCCGAAUCUUCCGAGCGAUCGACGAGGGGCCGUUUAUAUAUCUCGGCCGUUAUCGGGAGCCGCACGCGCUCCUCUUUAUCGCGCGUUCUAUCUGCCUCGCGAAUCUCUCCCUUAAUUAUUGCGUCGCGACGGGGCACGUCGCCGGCACAAUGCGCGCGGACACGUGUGGCCGUGCGCCGCUCUUUCAUUCCCUCUCGCUUAUUGUCCAUUAAAACAAAAAACAGAGUCCGCGGGUCGUCCUGCGAAAACAACGCGCGCGCCACGCGGAAUCCAAAUGAAUCGCUUCCGAAUCCGUUUCGUACCUCUAACGAGGAGACACGAGAGAGAGAGAGAGAGAGAGAGAGAGAGAGAGAGAGAGAGAGAGAGAGAGAGAGAGGCUGCAAGCACUCAAAAGAAAGUGGAAGAGUCCCCACUUCCAAGGCGUGCUAGCUGUGUGAUAAAACCACUGAUGAGACACCGGCAAGGAAGAGGUGUAGAUAAUUGAGACUCCUCUGAGAAAAAAAGGAACAAAAAUGCGGCAAAGGCUACGGAGAGGAUUUUAGGACUUUUCGUUCAUCCUUUGCAAGAGAGUUGCGGAGAUUUACGAGCCAUUAUACACCGAAUAACUGGCGCGGGGUAUCGAAGCAUCUGGCUUAGCGGCGUUUGAUGGAUUUUGAGAGAGGACUAAUUGCCGCCGGUGGGGCGUACCAACUAACAGGCGCAGCUUUUACUCCUCUCGACGAUUACGACUCGACAAAAUGACAGGGCUAGGAAACUCUGACGUUUAUCUUGUCUCUCUGAUACUCGGCGAUAUUUCUGCAGUGUACGUUCGUCAAGAGGACAAUAAUCUUGUGGAAAUUAUGAUUAGGAACAGUGUAUCGGACAAUGAGAAACAACAUGCGAUACGAAGCGGCAUUCCCCGUAAAGAUGAGCGCGCGCAUUUUGCAAAAUGGCGUCACGACGCUAUCGAUCGCGAUGGCGAAGCUGAGGCGUCGGCCGCGACGCCCGCGUAUCAAAUUGCCGGUGAUGUACUUCGACCAGAGCCCGAGUGCAAUAGUAUUAUAUUUUGCAAAAAAUUCCAAGGAUAAUCUUUGUCAAAUUCCGAUCGAGUCAAUUGCCGAUCAACUUAGCCGAGGACAACGUCGACUCACCUUGCCGUGCUCUUUGUCGAAGUCGCAGUCGCAAGGGUCGACGGGAUAGUUGCCAGACGCACCACCGAAGACAAGCUGAAGAUUAGUACCCGUUGCCGCAAAUGCAAUCUCUGUGUGACCCUCUCGACAGCCAUUUUGAAAUCGCACUUGUCGCUCUUCCAUCGGCCGGUCUCUGUAGCCCGUAUAUCUCACCUUCAACACAGAAGACGAAAGAAAACGAUAUUUAGGUGAACAUGCGUCGAUUUGAUGACCGAGUCAAUCGCACAGAUCGACCGCUGCUUCCUCUCAAACUGCCUAACUUUGAAGCUCAGAUCACCGGGCUCGCACAAUUAACAAACGGAGCGAACGCGAAGUAUCAAUCCGUCGAGCUCUACAACGCUCGUCACGAUCCGAAGGCUAGACUGUUAAUUCGUGGAAAAGACGGCAUUCCUGCGGCAUGAUUUCGCGUGUUCCACGUGACUCCACAGGCGUAACGACUCUCGGAAUCCCUCAUCAUCGAAAUUUCUCGCCGCGUCACAUUCUUGCUGACCUGUUUCAAUCCAACCGAUCGACGCCGUACCCAUUUCUGCUACAUUUCGUAGCGCGUUGCAGACUCGCACGAAUUUACAUCCUAUGACAGUGUAUAAGAUACAUUACGUUGGUAUAAUAUAGCGAGACCGGCAAAUCUCCAUGGAGCCCUUCAUGGAUACAAUAUCUGGCAAGUACGUGCCGCAAACGGAGAGAAGGAAAAAAGGGAGUGUGCCCAUUUUGAGGUACUGCCGGAUGCUGCCUCUGCUUAGGCUUAGGUAUAACACUCCCUCCGUUGUAUCCCCUCGAGGAAAGAGGUCUUUAUCGUCUCUCGAGUGGCGGAGCUCGUUCAUUCGGGGACAUUAUUGUCCAAGAUUACGAUCGACAACCUUCCGUAAACGCGACUCACGUUACCGUUCAUGGAUACCCCAUUUAUCCUUUUUCUCGCUUUUCAUCCUGCGGCACGUGGACAGGAACACCAACGUUCCUCGGUUUUGCCGUUAAUCCCGUCAUUGAUUUUUUGCAUUAGUAAUAACAUUAUAAUGAGAAACUUAACGGAAAAAUGUUUCCGCGUUUUUUCCUCGCUACAUAGAGAGAAUUUUAUAGUAAAAAUUACUAUAGAAUUUUUCGCAUCUGUGAAACAUCGACAAUUCGUUCAUUUUGUGUAUUAUUUUAGGAACUAAAAUGUUCUAUUAAAAGUUUGUUAUAUUUCAAGAGAAAUUUACUAUAUUCCUUAAGACUUUACUGACAGUCCAUUUUUACAUUAUUGAAGAAACAUAGUAAAAUCGAAGAGAACUUGAACUAUGAAAAAGAACUAUGGUAUUUUCUCCAUUUAGAAAUUAUUUGUCAUCAUUCAAUCAAUUAUUUUCUUUAUUAUCUUUACAAAACAUAAAGUAUCGUUAUAAGUUUUCUAUUCAACAUUUCUCUAAUGUUUUUCAUUGUUUUAGUGAUACAUCAGCAAACAUGUGAAAGAUCGUAUUCUCUCCGAGGAAAACGUUUUCCAUUGACUGUUUUUCGAAAGCGAAACGAAAAAUGGAUACGUCAUUAGUUUCUUCGCAUAAAUAGCAAGCGUAGCGAACGGGAUUUCACGCUCGUGCCUCGUCAAGAGAAACAAAUCUCCGCCUCUUGUCGCGCGUCAUUGGUCCAGCAACUUCGCCAAUCGCGAUGUCGUACCUCGACGAACGAAGGGAGAAAUGCACACGAAUGCACGCACGCACACACGCGUGCUCGUGCGCUCGCUCGUACGCUGUGCGUGCGACCGUCCGUCGUGCGUGCGUAUGGCACGUCGUCAACUGUGUGUGCGAACGUAUGUCGUUUGUCAGACAAGAAAGGCGAAAAGCACGAAGCGACGUGAAUCGUCUCGCUAUGCCGGCUGACAUGAAGAGAUUAGGCCUGUUCUCUUCCAAAGAGAUUCCCAAAUUAGCAUACACUGGUGUCCAUAAGUUAAAGUGAUACAAGUAUAUGUUUGUUUCACUCUAACUUAUCACAACAGUAUACACCAGUUCAGAAGGGGCUUCGAAAAAGAACAGAUCUAAUAAUAUAUAUCCAAAUAUCACAGAGAAUUCAAAAAGAAUUCAAUCGUAUGUCACCAAUUCUGAGUUCAUUUUCAGAUGCAAAAAGAAUUCUUCAAAGUUCAGUGAAAAGAAUCCUUUUUGCAUCUAAAAAUAAACUCAGAAUUGCUGACAUACGACUCAAUUCUUUUUCAAUUAUCUAUAUUAUCUGCAUAUUCAGCAAAGAAAACUGCUUCGUUUCUGUAAAAACUUUGUAAGCUGCUUUAUAAAAUUCGCGAAUCUGAUCGAUGUAUAUUUUUAAUGUUUGCUAACAUCUAUCGAUCAGAUUGACAAAUUUUACAACAGUUGCAAAGCAGCUUUCUCUGCUGAAUGCUCUUCAAUCAAUAGUUCGUUGUCUGUUUACUUUGUGCAUGCAUUUAAAUGCACUCGUGAGAUAUGCAACAUGCGUGAAAUCACGCAAUCUUAUCUCGAGCUCUCGAUUUAUAUAGAGAUAUUUUUCACAGAAAUAUUAACCAGGACGGCAAUAUGCAAAUAAAGUCCGUGCUCUGUUUGCAUGUCGAGGAACGACGGCGAGGGCGAAAUCGAUAUCGCGACGCCAGAGUCUGUUGCCAGAGAAACUCAGCGCUUGUACGCUAUACAGCGUAAAUACUCGUGAAGAUCGCGAUUGAGUACGU